CUCCUUUUGCCUGCUGCCAUGCACAUAAGAUGUGACUUGCUCCUCCUUACCUUUUACCUUCCACCAUGGUUGUGAAGCCUCUCCAGCCACGAGUAACUGUAAGUCUGAUAAACCUCUUUCUUUUGUAAACUGCCCAGUCUCAAGUAUGUCUUUAUCAACAGUGUGAAAAUGAAUAAUACAGUUUCCUUCUUUGGGGCACCAGAACCAGCUUUUCUCAUGUGGUUUCUGCCAUACAGUUGCCCUUCUCCUAGUCUCUCUGGAGUUCCACCUUGAUCACCAUUUAGGACCACCUUUUACUGCACUCGCCUGAUCCAUGCUUGAGCUUUGGUGACUCUGGGUCACCCAGAGUCCAUCUUCAGGGUCAGACUGGGCAGCUGGCUGGAUUCUUUUAGCCCUGUACUGAAGCAAGAUCAGGAGAUAAUAACAAAGAAUUGUAUUUUUAGCCAGGACAACUUUCAAUCUUUUCUUAUCCUUUUCAACCCUAUUUUAUGCUUGUCCCAGUGUGUUUGGGAGACCAGAGCGUCUCCCCUUUACUGCAGGAGCUAUAUGUAUGACU
rnacentral:lncRNA from 1 species